UUGGUGGGGUGAUGGCCUACCAAGGCGACGACGGGUAGCCGGCCUGAGAGGGUGUCCGGCCACACUGGGACUGAGAUACGGCCCAGACUCCUACGGGAGGCAGCAGUGGGGAAUAUUGCACAAUGGGCGCAAGCCUGAUGCAGCGACGCCGCGUGGGGGAUGACGGCCUUCGGGUUGUAAACCUCUUUCACCAUCGGCGAAACCCAUAGCUUGUGUUGUGGGUGACGGUAGGUGGAGAAGAAGCACCGGCCAACUACGUGCCAGCAGCCGCGGUAAUACGUAGGGUGCGAGCGUUGUCCGGAAUUACUGGGCGUAAAGAGCUCGUAGGUGGUUUGUCGCGUUGUCCGUGAAAUUCCCUGGCUUAACUGGGGGCGUGCGGGCGAUACGGGCAGACUGGAGUACUGCAGGGGAGACUGGAAUUCCUGGUGUAGCGGUGGAAUGCGCAGAUAUCAGGAGGAACACCGGUGGCGAAGGCGGGUCUCUGGGCAGUAACUGACGCUGAGGAGCGAAAGCGUGGGGAGCGAACAGGAUUAGAUACCCUGGUAGUCCACGCCGUAAACGGUGGGUACUAGGUGUGGGUUUCCUUCCUUGGGAUCCGUGCCGUAGCUAACGCAUUAAGUACCCCGCCUGGGGAGUACGG
rnacentral:rRNA from 1 species